GCACAUCUUCUUCAAUCACAAAUGCCUUUUCCCGCCUCACUGCUGAGCUCCUCCUCCUUCACUUUUCCCACUUGAAUCCUUGACUUGCAGUCAGAUAAUAAUUCAGAAUAUGAAACUGAAAUGAGUGUACUGAUCUUUUUUCAAGUUUUUAGCACAAGACUUUAUUUCACUUGAAUUUUGAAGUACUUUGCAGAAAUACACUGUCACACCACUGCACAAAAUCCUACCACUGAGCCAUGGACAUUUUCUCCAUUACGGGAUCAUUAUUUCGAGGUGCUCUUGGUGCCUGUGGAGUAAGUGGAAGUGUUGCUGGAGCUGUUGAGGUCAGAGUGGCUGUUGGUGAAUCAUUUUUUUUCUGGAAUGGCUGUUGGAAGUAUGGCUGUUGGUGAUGGACCUAAUAGUGGUGGACCUGUUGGUGGUGGACCUGUUGGUGCUGGACCUGUUGACCAUGGUGGACCUGUUGGUGGUGGACCUGUUGACCAUGGUGGACCUGUUGACCAUGGAGAUAAUGGUUGUGGUGGACGGUCGUGCUGGACCUGUGGUUGGUGCAGGACCUGUUGCCGACGGUGUCACUGAAAAUGUUAGAACCGCUGGUGUAACUAUUGUUGCUUUAGCUAGGGUUGCCACCUUCAAUACAGAAAAAUAAGGGACGCCUGCCGCAGCGGGGGCCACACCCCUCGGGGGCCACGAUGACCACAGUCCUGAUGGCGUGCCAGUGGUGGUAUAUCAUAACUUAAAACAUGUUUUCAUAAAAAUAUUAAGAUUGAUACCAAUGGACGUUAUAAUAAGAUAUCUGCUAUAGAAAUCAGUGUGAACAGAUGCACUCAGUCACAGACUAUCACAACUUAAGUGAUCAUAUUGAAUACACAGCUAUGACAAUAGCUGUGACUGAGACCACAAAAAAUAAGCUUUUGGAGGAACUUGUGAGAUGUGAACCAUAUUUUAUUAACUUAUUAAAUUAACAGAUCCAUAACUUAGUAAUUAUAAAUUAAACAAAUGCUUUGAUACUCAAAAAGGUAUAUUGGGAAAAAAUAUAGUGCAGGAGACUUGCAAAGGAUCUUCCAUGAAGUGGAAGCGUUCCGCCCUUCUCUGACUCUGAUUGGCCGUUAUUCACGGCCUGUGAACCUGAAACAAACUAAUUAAACCAAUGAUGGCAGCGAGUAUUGCCCAAUCAGGGGCAGAAUAGGACGUGUCUUCACACAAUGCGGGUGGGGUGAUUUGCAUGGGAUGCUGCAUAAUGUGGACCUAUGUAAAAUACGGGACAAAUCCCGUCCCGUAUCAAAUCAAUACAAUCAUUUUGCCUGUAAAUACAGGACGAUUCCGUAUUUCACGAGAUGGGCGGCAACCCUAGCUUUAGCUGUUGUUAGUGAGCACACACCAACAAUUUAGGAGAGCUCAUUUCAACUGAGGAAAUACAUUGCAUCAGGUCAUUUAAUGUUAGUACACAAAAAAAGUUUAUUUCUUAAUAUACAGUUAAACUAUAUACUCUAUUGAAAUUCUUUGUGUAGCUGAAUUAUAAACAUUAAAUUGACUCUCUUAAGGGUAACUGUAGCACACAUGUCAAGUAUGUCGCGGAUACUGUAUUUAAAUAACAGAGCAUAAAUAUAAUCCUGAUAGAAUCUUGAGUCUAGCUGAUCCUUGACUUAGCCAUAACACUAAUGUCUCUCUAUAUGUGCAAAAAUAUACAAAAUAGCAUAUUUUCAACAUUAGUAAAUGACUUUUAGGAUCAUUCGGUGUCUUCAAUAUCACAGGAGAUGAUUUUAUUUCAGAUCAGGGGCCGGUUGCAUAAACUACUUAGACUAGUUAUGACACUAAUGUUUUUUUCUUGAAGAGUGGUCCUAAUUUUUUAAAGUCCAUUACAUAAAAAGGUAGAUUGGUGUAAUUUAAAUUGGAAAAAUAACAUUGAUUACCCAAGUUGGUCAAACUAGUUAUUAUUAAUAUUAAGAAACAGUCUUAAGAAACAGUCUUAAUAUAGUGACUAAGUUUAUGCAACUGGCCCCAGAUGAAGUCUGAUGUAUUUAGAUUAUUUCUUAUUUCUCACUACAUCUGCCAAUUAAUUUUCCUGUAUGGCUGUUACAAGAGCUAACUUUACCAGCACUGUUGGCUUAUGUUGAAUUUCAGAUAAAAAUGGAAAAGGAAUCUGCAGAUACUUAUUACAACAUUUGAUUUGAAACACAAGUUAACUUCAGUACAAUUUAUAUUAUAGUCAGUUAUAUUGGGGGGUGGAGCUUUCUCUGUUUAAAGGUGAUAUUUAUUGGUUAGUGGUUCCAUUUUUAUUUUUUUUAUUUUUUUUUACCUCAAAUCAUAUUUAUAUGUUGCUAUACUUUGUUUUCAAGAUGGCCUUUUCUUCUUUUAUUAAUCCACAAAAAAGUUAUUAUUUUUGUUGUUUUUGAUCCAUAUAAACUUUUGUAACAAAUAAGGUCAGUAUAGUAUUUGUAUUGUAACAAAUAAGGUCAGACACCAAAAUUAUUGGUGUUGAUUCCCAUUUCGAUACCAAAGCUAAAACUAUACCAACCUGAUUAUGCUCAGCAACACAACUCUAUUGACAUUUUGUUCAUUAAAUACCAACUCUGUGUUUCAAAAUGCAAAAAAAAAAAAAAGUUCUGUCGAAACACAAUGUUUUUUGUCCAACAGGAACAUAUGACAAAUAAUGCAAUUUUUUCUCAUUUGUAUAAGUAUUUUUACAGUCACUGUGCUAUGAUUGUUUAUGUUUCAGCUCUAUCUGCAUACAAAAAAUGUGAAAUCUGUUUGUGUUUUUUGGGGUUUUGUAAACCAUUCUACAUACUGUAGAAUAUGUGUAUUUAUGGCAAUGUACUGCAAAGAUCAGGGAACGUGAGUGUGUGCGUUUCUUUGUGUGUGUGUGUGCGUGUGUGUGUGUGUGUGUGUGUGUGUGAGCGUGUGUUUAACUUUAAUGGAUUAUUUUGUUUCUGUUAGCUGUAGUUCCUAUUAAGUUCUGGCACGUUCUCAUUGGUUGUCAUAGGCUCUGUUGUUUGUUAGUUUUCUUUUGACUUCAUGGAAUGUAGUUAUAAGUAGUUUGAUGUUUUAAAGUUUUUAUUUGAAACUUUGUCAUGUACGUGUGUGUCCAGUAGGGGUCACUCUUGAGUAACUGGUUAAAGAAUAUAGGUGGGAACCUUCCUUUCCUUAGGAAACAGGUGUUGCUGGAGGGAAGGUGCACACAGUUUUUUGACCGCUAUACGCUUAUGUUAAGUUAUGCUAUACCACUCAAGUAGGAAAUUUGUACUGGAACUGUGGAUUUAUUGAGUUUGUUUGGAUUUUUGCUUACAUGAAAUGUAGACCGUUAUGGUAAAAUAAAUAUAUGAUUGUGAGCAUAUUAACUUGUGUGUGGAAGUUAUAUUAUUUUAAUGUCAUAAUCAUUAAGGCACAUUUUGAAGAGUAAAUAGUGUGAUUGUUUACUGCACUUUGCUGUUCUAUUUAUCCGGCUAAAGAAUCAGAAGUACUGGACAUGCACAGGAAAUUUUGUAACUUCCUUCCACUUGACAAAGUACGGUGGAUACAAUGUCAAUGAGAUUGAUUUAGAAAUGUAAUAUUCAGAAAUUUAAGACAAGAUUUGCCUUCUCUACACAUACAAUCACUUUCAAAUGAUUCUAAGUAAAAUCAUGUCACCUUCUCCUUUUUUUCAGCUAUCAAUAAUAAUAAUAAUAAUAAUAAUAAUAAUAAUGACAAUUAUUUAUUUAUUUAUUAAUUUAUAAUAUUAACACUUUUAGCUUUAUCAGCAGAGGUAAGCAUAACAUCUUUUCAUGAUCCUUCUCUGUAGAUUUUGAUGGAGUUCCAAUAAAACAAAUUAUUUACGUUUUACAUUUGUACGUAUGCUAAUGCAUGUUCAUGUAUAUGUUUUGACUGCUUUGUGACACAUAAUUUAGCAUAAAACUAUCAGUUUUCAGUAUCAGAUACACUAAUUAAUUUAUGCUCUGAAGCUUUCUGAAGCAGUGUAUUGAAAUCGGUCAUCACUAUGUAAGGCUUGAUUUUCCUGCUAGACAAAAACUGAGAUCAAGCAUCCUGCAAUAAAGUAAUAAAACUUAUCUGGAAAAAAGAUCUCAAAGAAGUAGCAAAGGACAACGCCUCCCCCACCACACACACACACGCACACACGCACACACACACACGCACACACACACGCACACACACACACACACGCACACACACACACGCACACACACACACACACACACACCUUCCCUUCCCCCUGACUCAAGUCACUGAAACUUAUUCAAAAUGUAUAAUGUAACUUGUGUAUUUAUUGUUUUUCCCUUUAUAUGUUUGGUAUCAUUUUAAAUCUCUCAGUGCGACUGGUAAAAUGGUCUCAAUCUGGACGAGCUCACAGAGACUGUAACUUCAUAUAUCAGUUUCUGUGAGGAUUUGUGCAUUCCUACCAGGACUCAUCUAACUUCCAACAACGACAAACCCUGGUUCACUGCAAAACUCAGCCAGCUCCGUCAGGCCAAAGAAGAUGCUCGCAAAGCUUCAGAGUCAGUUCUCUUCUAAUGACACAGCUUUAGUGUGGAAAGGUCUGAAAGUUAUCACCAACUACAAGACACCAUCCCCCAGCUCUGUGGUGAAUGGCAGAUGAUCUGAACGAGUUUUAUUGCAGGUUUGAAAAAUCACCAUUAACACCUCCAACAACCCCCCUCUUCCCCACACCUGCAAUUCAGUUCAGUGAAGAUGACGUGCGGCAGGUCUUCAGAAAGAACAAGAGA